UUACGGCCAUAUCACGUUGAAACACCUAAUCCCGUACGAUCACCGAAGUUAAGCAACGUCGAAACUGCUAGAUGGGUGGGCGCUUGGGAAUACCAGGUACUGUAAU